rnacentral:rRNA from 1 species
AGCGAACGUUAGCGGCGGGCCUAACACAUGCAAGUCGAGCGAGAAAGGGCUUCGGCCCUUAGUAAAGUGGCGGACGGGUGAGUAACACGUAGGUAAUCUUCCCUUGAGCGGGGGACAACGAGCCGAAAGGCUCGCUAAUACCGCAUAAGUUUCCCGGGACUCUGGUCCUGGGAAGGAAAGCUAGGCCGCAAGGUCCGGCACUCGAGGAGGAGCCUGCGUCGCAUCAGCUAGUUGGUGGGGUAACGGCCACCAAGGCGACGAUCGGUAGCUGGUCUGAGAGGAUGACCAGCCUCAUUGGGACUGAGACACGGCCCAAACUCCUACGGGAGGCAGCAGUGGGGAAUAUUGGACAAUGGGCGCAAGCCUGAUCCAGCCAUGCCGCGUGGAUGAUGAAGGCCCUAGGGUUGUAAAGUCC